rnacentral:rRNA from 1 species
UACGUAGGGGGCGAGCGUUGUCCGGAUUCAUUGGGCGUAAAGCGCGCGUAGGCGGCUCCGCAAGUCGGCCGUGAAAUCUCCGGGCUCAACUCGGAGGGGUCGGGCGAGACUGCGAGGCUCGAGGUGGGCAGAGGGCGGUGGAAUUCCGGGUGUAGUGGUGGAAUGCGUAGAGAUCCGGAGGAACACCAGUGGCGAAGGCGGCUGCCUGGGCCUGGCCUGACGCUGAGGCGCGAAAGCGUGGGGAGCAAACAGG